AAAUAACAUGUCUGGAACAUAUGUUAAUGGAAAUGUGUCAGUACUUUUAACAGCACAUGAAGAUAUUUUGCAGACAAGAAGGUCAUUAUUUUUGGGAAAUCAUACAUUUUCGAUUCCAAUUAACUUAUUAAAUCAUCCAAAAACCCUUGAUAUUAAAAGCGAAAAAGGUAAAAUAAUUUUUAAUUUAAAAAUAAAAAAAAAUGCUAAGAACGGAACAGGAAAGAUGUCGAAAGCAAGGUUGAUUCCAACCUCAAAUAAUAUGUUAGCAAGAUGUCCAACCAAUAACAAAACAUUGUGCUUAAAUAUAUUGGACAACAAAGUACCAGGGUUCAGCAUUAAAAUUAAAAUGCCAUUUAGAGAAAACGCAGCACAGCAAAAAGCUUUAAAAGUUAAGGUGUCUAGAAUUGUAACUGAUGCCACGACUAAGGAUGCACUUCAAAUUUCCGUCGAUGUCAUAAAUAAAGGGCUGGAAUCGCAAGAAUAUUUAAUAAGCAUUUCUAACUGCCUACUGUCAGAAAGAGAAUCGGCUAUAUCAACUGUAAAAAAAAUGCUUCUUCCUUAUAUAUCUGAAACAAUAACUUUUUUAUUGCCAUUUAUAAUGGGAUCAAAGAAAAAUUUCAAAUUUAAUUGCGAAUGUAAGUACAAUACACGGUAUUAAAAGUGCGUUUAAUCUGUAUUUGGUCUUAAGAGGAAUAUAUCGCAAUUUUUAUAAUAAA